CUACGCAUUGUGACUUUAAUCCCUGACAAUCUUGGGUGAGAGACAUUUUAUUGAUGACCCUCCUAACACUGAUCUGUGGAAGACUAAUUCUGUCUCUUUCCAGUACUCCCGGAUGCAACUGCACCCAAUAGGUAUGUGUCACACGAGAGAUGUAGCUACAAACAUCUUUUCCUUUUGCCAAUUCACACUUUUAUUAGCCACGUUAUCAUAAGCAAGGGUGGCUUGUUCUUAGUACAUUUUAGAUGGCUCUUCUCUUGAAACAUUGUCAUUUCCUCUAAAUGUUUGGCCAUUAUCAGCUGGCUGUAGUGUUAAGUCUUGGUUUUUCCUUUCUCACUUCCAUUUUUAGCCCAUGGAACUAAAGCUAACUCAUUUCAGGUAGUGCAACGUGAGACACAUCAUUUGGUGCUCCUGACACUGAGGUCUCACAACUGUGAAGGGGUGUCAUGUUCCCUGGUCUACCCAUCACUCAGGACAUCAAAUCCUGGGGCUCUCUUCACAAACAGACCUUGUAGAUUUCCGUGAUUCUGACAACUGUGUUGCAGCAGAUAGCAGCUGGUGGCUUUUCUAAUGCAUUGCAAAGGCAGUUCGGGCUGGUUGUGGAACAGAAAGUGCUGUGUGGGCCGGAUGACUGUUCUAGCCACGCGCUGUGGAGGGUGAGGUGCCUGCUACUCCCAUACUGUCACAUGUUGGUGUCAAGCCUGCAGGGCAGAGGCUAUGGAGCACCUGCCUCUACUGAGGUGGCCUGGCGGCAUCACCUGCUGAGCUGUCUGUACCAAGGCAGCUGAAGCCUACACAGAAACCUCCUUGUGCAACUCUCCACGUGAACCAGUCACUGGAACUGCGGUGCCCUGGGCGAGAGAUUAACGAGAUUUCACCAGCAGGGACACCAAACCCCACUUGUAGGGCUGUGAGAGGAUUGAACCAGAAAAUAGCCAGGCCCUGGCACAGAGCUCCAUGUGUGAAGUCUGCUGAAUCCGCCAUGCAACUGAAUCCACAGGCAAUUCUCCAGAAAGGGUGCCAGAAAAAUGCUCAACACCUAGGGCUUAAGUCAAAGAUACAACAAAUGAGGCUGGAAGGGAACAUCCAUAGCUUGCAUUAUUCAUCCAGUGGGCUUGGAUCCUUACAACACCCCACCAAGUCCUUGUUGUGACUUUAUUUGAAUGCUAGUGAGCUUAUCAUUGCUCCUUUCCCUCUCCCUUUCUUUUAAAAAAUUCUUUCUUAGCUAUUUAUUAGACACUUACUACCUGCCAGGCAGAGUUAGGCACAAGGGAUAUCAUGGCAAGAGAAACAGAAGUGUAUCUAUCCACAGGCACAUUUGGAGGGAAGGUUAAUGUUGUGGGACUUUUCCUUAGUUCAGCUAAAGGCAGGGUCCUUGUCACACAGCU
rnacentral:lncRNA from 1 species